rnacentral:lncRNA from 7 species
AGGGGAGAGCGUGGCACGAGGGAGAUGGGCUGCGUGGGCCAUGAGGUGGGGGAGGAGCGUGGGCGCACGAGAGGGAGGGGAAAAAAAGCUUGGGCCGGAUCCAGCCUAGCCGAGAGGGGGGAGAAGGGAUUUUCCUUUUUUCUUUUUCUAUUUCUUUUUCCUAAAUCCCUUUUUCUUCUCCAAACAAAUAUUCAUCUAAAUUUCUUGGGUGCCAAAAUGAAAUACUCUAUGUGAAGUGCUACUAGCAAUUAUGGUGUAUGCAUAUGAUGAAUAAAAUGCUUCAUGAGAUGGGGUCUUAGGAGGAAUUAAGGGGGGGUUAGGAGUUUAGGGUUUC